rnacentral:rRNA from 1 species
GUUAAGAAUCUUGCACAAUGGGCGCAAGCCUGAUGCAGCGACGCCGCGUGGAUGAUGAAGGCCUUCGGGUUGUAAAGUCCGGUAAGCAGGGAAGAAUAAGCAACGGGUAAUAUUCGUUGUGAUGACGGUACCUGCCUAAAGCCCCGGCUAACUACGUGCCAGCAGCCGCGGUAAUACGUAUGGGGCAAGCGUUGUUCGGAAUUAUUGGGCGUAAAGGGCGUCUAGGCGGGGGAUUAAGUUAGAUGUGAAAGCUAUGGGCUCAACCCAUAAAUUGCAUCUAAGACUGGUUCUCUUGAGUCCGGGAGAGGAGAGCGGAAUUCCAGGUGUAGCGGUGAAAUGCGUAGAUAUCUGGAAGAACACCAGUGGCGAAGGCGGCUCUCUGGCCUAGGACUGACGCUGAAGCGCGAAAGCGUGGGGAGCGAACAGGAUUAGAAACCCGUGUAGUCC